UACGUAGGGGGCAAGCGUUGUCCGGAUUCAUUGGGCGUAAAGAGCGUGUAGGCGGCCAGGUAGGUCGGUUGUGAAAACUGGAGGCUCAACCUUCAGAGGUCGACCGAAACCAUCUGGCUAGAGUCCGGGAGAGGAGAGUGGAAUUCCUGGUGUAGCGGUGAAAUGCGCAGAUAUCAGGAAGAACAUCCGUGGCGAAGGCGGCUCUCUGGGACGGUACUGACGCUGAGACGCGAAAGCGUGGGGAGCGAACAGG
rnacentral:rRNA from 1 species